UGCUAAUUCUGAGGGGCAGUCAAGGAUGUGAAUGUACUAUUAAAAGUAAUGGGAAAAGAUUAUAGCAGUUUUCUUUUCUUGCUUGAAGUAUAACACAUGACCUAUUUGACCUUACCCAGAAGAAGCCAACAUUGUGUGUAUUACAGUCUUCAUCAAAUCAAGUAACAAUAAAGAACAGCUUGAAUGUAAGCUUUAUAAAUGCCUGUGAUCCAACCCAAUUGUCACCACCCAGAGGUUAUGGAACUCUUUCCCAGUAUUUCGAAGACCAGGAUAUAAUCAGUGGGCUCCUAGUAGCAGGAAGUAGUUCCUGAUUUAUUUUUGGCCUUGGACAAACUCAGUCUCAGAAUGCAAAUAGCCCCCCAGGAAAAGGUGGCACUGAGAGCUUGGUGAGCUGAAAACCCACCAAUGUAUACCUGCCUGGCUCCUGAUCUGACCACUAGGUCAUCCAGAGCUUGAAGUGAUGUGUUGACCUCAAGUCACUAGAUAUUUUAAGGAGCUCUUUUUCUGUCCCUUUUUGCAGGAGUAGAGAGAUGCAAGAGAGCAGACCACAGAAUGCAUUUAGAUGCAGGCAAACUCAGUCCUCUACAAGGGAGAGAAGAAACACAGCGUCUCACUAACCCUUCGUGGCCUUGGGCUGUGUCAGUAUCACUCUUGGUAUAAUAUUGCUUCCCCACAAUAUCACGUCACUGGAUGAAAGGAAAGUCCAGAGUCAGGAGUAUUUUCUCAAAUCAUGGUUGAGUAACAACAAAAAGUGGGGGGAAAUUUACUGUGAAGCUCCUUAUUAGGUUUUUAGAUCUGUAUGUGUUGACUUCACAGUAUAGUACAGAGCAAAGAUCUUAUAAUUAACAGCACUGUCACCCCGAGGAGGAAACUCUGUGCACACGAACUGAUAAGAGGAGAUUCGAGACUUCACCGUAGCUUGAUUUUUGCCGCCAAUAACAAAAUUAAAACAUGGUUCAUUAUUCCUUCCGAAGAUUUAUGAACUUCUUGAAUGAAAUCUAUUUUCUGAAGGAAAUCCACCUGAUGAGUUUUAGAGUUGCCAUGCAUAGGGUUGGUAUGUCCCUUCCUUUUCUUUGGAGGAGCAUCUUAGCAUUUCAGGGGGACAGACAGAGCUGGAGAGUUCAGUGUGGACAGCAAGGUGUGUCUAUAAAAUUCCCAUCAGCAUUAAACUCUGAAAUUUACAAUGAACAGCCUUCACAUUGGUGCUAAAUUGGGUAGACAUCCUGCUGCUUUCUGAGUCCGUGAGCAAAAUAUAUCUCAGAUCUAGUGCAAUUAGGCAGGAGGGUGUUGGGAGUCAGAAACAGCCCACGAUGGUAUUUCUCUGUACUCCCAGUUCACACCGACUUAAGUGGAAAUGAUGCCACAAUGAGACCAGAAAGAGAAGUCUCCGUAAGAUAUCCCUACAAAGUCACCUUUCUGAUAAAAAAGAGAAUGAAAGUGAGGUAUCUAAAAUAAGCCUAGAAUCUCAUAUGCAGCUCAGCUUCUAAGGGGAACUCUUUCUCCCUCGUGUCCUUAAAUAGUACUAGAAUCUCACACAGCCUGACUUUUGAAGGUGGGCUUCACUACAGCGCAGAAUGGAGAGUGAACUAACCACCGAGACUGUCUCCUGACUCAGCUUUUUCAGAAGUGUUACGUUCCAUCUAUGCUGACUGCAGUGCUGUUUACUACUGGGAACAUACAAACAAAACCUGCUGUUUAUACAGUCACUUUUUCUAGUGUUUUCCUUUGCUUAUAUGAUACCAAGUCUGUUCAUAAGUUCUGAAGAUAAAUUAUGUGAAAUCAUAUUUUGGCAUAUGAUUGAGGGUGGAGAAUGAAUUCUUUACAGUCUUUUUUGGAUGAUCCCAUUUGUACCACAGAAACAUUUUGGAUAUUGUUAUAUAUGAAUAUAUAAAUUUUUCUUGUUUAUUUUGCAUUAAAAUAAAGCUUUAUUCAGUCAGU
rnacentral:lncRNA from 1 species